CCUACGGGAGGCAGCAGUGAGGAAUAUUGGUCAAUGGCCGGAAGGCUGAACCAGCCAUGCCGCGUGAAGGUCAGUGCCCUAUGGGCGUUAAACUUCUUUUGUGCGGGAGCAAUAAUGGUCACGUGUGGCCAGACGAGAGUACCGUACGAAUAAGCAUCGGCUAACUCCGUGCCAGCAGCCGCGGUAAUACGGGGGAUGCAAGCGGUAUCCGGGUUUAUUGGGUUUAAAGGGUGCGUAGGCUGUGAGGUAAGUCAGCGGGGAAAUGCCCCCGCUCAACGGGGUGAAGUGCCAUUGAUACUGCCUUGCUGGAAUGCGGAUGCCGUGGGAGGAAUGUGUGGUGUAGCGGUGAAAUGCAUAGAUAUCACACAGAACACCGAUUGCGAAGGCAUCUCACGAAUCCGCGAUUGACGCUGAUGCACGAAAGCGUGGGUAUCAAACAGGAUUAGAUACCCUAGUAGUC
rnacentral:rRNA from 1 species